rnacentral:rRNA from 1 species
AUUGAACGCUGGCGGCAUGCUUUACACAUGCAAGUCGAACGGUAGAGGGGCAACCCUUGAGAGUGGCGAACGGGUGAGUAAUGCAUCGGAACGUGCCCAGUAGUGGGGGAUAGCCCGGCGAAAGCCGGAUUAAUACCGCAUGAGACCUGAGGGUGAAAGCGGGGGACUCGAAAGGGCCUCGCGCUAUUGGAGCGGCCGAUGUCAGAUUAGCUAGUUGGUGGGGUAAAGGCCUACCAAGGCGACGAUCUGUAGCUGGUCUGAGAGGACGACCAGCCACACUGGGACUGAGAUACGGCCCAGACUCCUACGGGAGGCAGCAGUGGGGAAUUUUGGACAAUGGGCGCAAGCCUGAUCCAGCCAUGCCGCGUGCGGGAAGAAGGCCUUCGGGUUGUAAACCGCUUUUGUCAGGGAAGAAAUCUUCUGGGUUAAUACCCUGGGAGGAUGACGGUACCUGAAGAAUAAGCACCGGCUAACUACGUGCCAGCCGCCGCAGUAAAAC